CUGAGCAGUUCUUGAAAGCUGCUCACAUCCUGUGCAGGAGUCAGUCCUAGUCAGCACACAGCAUGGACAUGAAGGCCCCUGCUCAUUUCCUGGGGUUCCUGCUGCUCUGGAUUACAGGUGCCAGAUGUGACAUCCAGUUGACCCAGUCGCCAUCCCUGCCUGCAUCUCUGGGAGAGAGAGUCACCAUCACUUGCAAAGCUAGUGACGUCAUUAGCAAUUAUUUACAUUCUUACCAGCAGAGAGCAAGGAAAGCUCCAAAGCUCCUGAUCUAUUUUGCACCUACUUGGCAAUCUGGGGUCCCAUGGAGGUUCAAUGGAAGUGGAUCUGGCACAGAGUUCACUCGCAGCAUCAGCAGCCUGCAGCCUGAAGAUUUUGCCACUUACUACUGUCAGCAAGGAUCAAGUGGAGAUGUUGUGAUGACCCAGACUCCACUCUCCCUGCCUGUCACCCUAGGAGAGCCGGCCUCCAUCUCUUGCAGGUCGAGUCAGAGUCUCAUAUAUAGUGAUGGAAACACCUAUUUGUACUGGUUCCUACAGAAGCCAGGCCAGUCUCCACAAGCCCUAAUCUAUUUGGUUUCCAACCAAUAUUCUGGGGUCCCACACAGAUUCAGUGGCAGUGGGUCAGGCACAGAUUUCACAUUGAAAAUCAGCAGGGUGGAGGCUGAGAAUGUUGGUGUUUAUUACUGCUUUCAACAUACACAUGUUCCUCCCACACUGAUACAGCCCUGAACAAAAACCACCCUGACUGGUGUAGCGGAACUGUCACAUGUAGCCUUUUUUAGGAGCAGCACAACAGCUUUUCUGAGUGAAUGUGAGAGCAAGAAGCUAGAGAAGUCAGGAUAGUAAGUCACUGUUGUGCUCUCUGAUCCAAGCAUUUCUGAUACCCUUUAGGAUAUUGCAGCAAAAGCCAUGGAAUUGCACAGGCAGCCAUGUGGCUCCUUUGGCUGAUGGGAUGAUAAUGCAUCAUAUAGUUUAAUAAAUACUCAUUCUGAUUCCA